CUUUCAAUUUUGAGGGUAGAGAUCUGUACUUUGCCUAGUUCAAAGUUGUAAGUGUAAUACUUGCAAAUAUGUAAUGACUCGCAUCAGAAUGUUAGUGGUUUGUCUUAAUUUUUGAUAAUAUCUGAAUGUUGAACUCAAUUGAACAUGAGAUUGGAACUCACCAAUAUAUUUGUGUGACACUUUGACUUAAUUGGCAGGUAGUUGGGAUUAGAUGGUCAUCCAUUUUCUAUGUUGAGAAUAUAGCAAGAGUUAGGAAGCUCUCGUUGAGUGGCUUGCUUCUCUAUAAAUUAUGCAUGGCUGAUCAGUUAUUUGUGCAAUGGUCACAACUACAAAGGAAAUACUCCCGAGCAUAAUAUGUUGGCCAUCUCAUGUAAUUAAUUCAAUUCUGCUGCUGCUAGUGGUGAGCUGACAAAAUGAAAAUUGCAGUACAUGGUCAUGACCAGAGUAUUAGUGCUUCACAUGCGCAUCGAGGUGAAGCAGCAAUAAUUCACGUCAAUUGGAAGCAGUUGAGUUGCAAAACUAAUGAUUUUUGCAUACAUUGUUUUGUGGAGCUUAAGCUCAUCAUACUUUUGUAGUAAAGAAUGGAUUUUUGUUUUGGACUACAUGAAGUGCGUUGACUUUGAAAAAUAAACCAAUGAGGUUGAUCUCCUAAAUGUCUCUCCAUUCAUAAUCCACUUGCCUUCUUUUUGGCAAUCUCUGAGUUGUA